rnacentral:lncRNA from 1 species
GAGGAAGGCCACGAUGGGACGGCAGAAAUUCAUAGCCUAGUAGAGGAUGAUCUGAGAAUUGGAGAGCCUCACAGCAGAAAAGUGCUGGGAUCACAGGUGCGAGUCCCCGUGGCCGGCCAUCUGUUCUCCUUGUCUGAUGGAAUGCUUACAGAGGCCUGUCAUGCAGUAUCCACAUGGACAGAGACCUGAGAUAUCACAAAGGUGCUUAUACCGCUGAGCUAAAUCCCCAGCCCCUGAGAAAAGCAUCUUUACUUGCACAUGUACGAAGCAGCCUUUAUAAUAUUGAAGAUGCUCCGAGGCAAAAAGAGAAAAGACACGUGCUCCAUACUUCAGUGCGAUGCAACCACAGUGAGAGAGCUGGAGGAGCUCUGAGAUGCUGGACAUGUCUGUCACAACCCCUUCACCUUUUUGCAAGGAGCUGGUCAGAGUGGAUGCUUCCUGGACUGCUUCUCUGGGAGGCUGGAAUUGGAGGCUCUGCCACAGGACAGAGUCCCCAGGGCAUCAGCCACGAGCCAUAGCAGCAGGAAGAAGACCAGGCCUGGCCUGCCUGAUCUGCACCCUCAUCAUCACUGGCUCCAGGAACUGAGAUUCCUUUCCCAUCCUGUUCGGGCUGAUCCGAAUUAGAAAAACCAAAUCUGUCAUCCAAAGAAUCGCUUAAUGAAGAAUUUCCAGCAUCUCAGUCAUUUGAGAGCCCCAUGUUACUGCAUUGCUGUACCGCUUCCAGAUACAUUUAAAUAACGUUUUCGACGUCUGUAAAUGUUUGAGUCACUCCUUGCUCAGUGACUCACGGUGCCUAGUGAGUUACAGAGCACUUGCCAUGCAGUGCCAUUUCGAUCAGCCCCUGGAUGCUUGCUUCUCUGACCUCAUUUCUGCCAGGCACGCAGUCCAUCCCGGGCACACUGACCCCUUCAUGUUCUUGGAGCAGCCCAGCAAGCUGGAGCCCGGCGCCCUGGCUCAGCCUGCUGGGAUGUCUCACUACAUGUGUAGGAUAAUUUGGGAGAGAUGCCACUCUUAAAGACAUUUUCAAUUCAUAUUAUGUCUCUUCAUUUCUUUCAGUUUUAUUUUAUGUUUUCCAUUAAUAAUUUGUAUGUAUGUCAUUGCAGAUUAAAAUGGGCAUUUUUGCACUGAGCUACACCCUCAGUCCUUUUUAAUUUUUUUUAAAACAAGUUCUCACUAAGUUGUUAAGUCUUCCAGGCUGAGCUCAAACUUGUGAUCCUCCUGUCUCAAUCUUUCAGGGUGCUUGGGAUGACAGGUGGGUGCCACGAUGCCCAGCUAAAUUGUUCUUGAUAAAGGUUCAGCAUACGCAGCAUACACUUUUCAUUAGAUUUGUUUCUAGAUGUACAAAAUUGUGUUGCUUCUGUGAAGUAUCUUUAAAAAAUUGCAUUAAAAAUGUUUGCUAGGGUACCAUUUUUAUUUCCAAAAUAUUAAUAGGAUUAUUAUUAUUAGUAGUAGGGUGGAUUGAAUCCAGGACAAAUGCACUGAGGUACAUCAUCAACCUCUUUAUUUUUUGAGACAAGAUUUUUGAUAAGUUGUCUUUAUAGAUAGCAUUAUCUAUCUGUCUGUCUGUCUUUCUGGUAUUAAAGGAGUAUUGAAGACCAUCUAGUGCUGAAUGACUUUGUCAUUAAUUGAAAGUACCGAAAAGAGAUGAAAGAUGGG